rnacentral:rRNA from 1 species
CUAAGAAUAUUCCGCAAUGGACGGAAGUCUGACGGAGCGACGCCGCGUGGAUGAAGAAGGCCGAAAGGUUGUAAAGUUCUUUUGCUGGGGAAGAAUAACCGCAGGAGGGAAUGCCUGUGGGAUGACAAGAACCGGCGAAUAAGCCCCGGCCAACUACGUGCCAGCAGCCGCGGUAACACGUAGGGGGGCGAGCGUUGUUCGGAAUUACUGGGCGUAAAGGGCAUGUAGGCGGCUUGGAAAGCCUGGCGUGAAAGUCUGCAGCUUAACUGCAGGGGUGCGCUGGGAACUGCUGAGCUUGAGUGACGGAGAGGGAGCUGGAAUUCCUGGUGUAGGGGUGAAAUCUGUAGAUAUCAGGAAGAACACCGAUGGCGAAGGCAAGCUCCUGGCCGAUGACUGACGCUGAGGUGCGAAAGUGUGGGGAUCAAACAGGAUUAGAUACCCUGGUAGUCCACACAGUCAACGAUGUGCACUAGGUGCUGGGGCGGUAGCUUCGGUGCCGGAGCGAACGUGGUAAGUGCACCGCCUGGGGAGUAUGCUCGCAA